UACGUAGGGUGCGAGCGUUGUCCGGAAUUAUUGGGCGUAAAGAGCUCGUAGGUGGCCCGGUCAGUUCGUGGUGAAAGCGCGGGGCUCAACCCUGCGUCGGCCAUGAAUACUGCCGCGGCUGGAGCACUGUAGAGGCAGGCGGAAUUCCGGGUGUAGCGGUGGAAUGCGUAGAGAUCCGGAAGAACACCGGUGGCGAAGGCGGCCUGCUGGGCAGUUGCUGACACUGAGGCGCGACAGCGUGGGGAGCAAACAGG
rnacentral:rRNA from 1 species